AUUGAACGCUGGCGGCAGGCCUAACACAUGCAAGUCGAACGAGUGGCGGACGGGUGAGUAAUGUCUGGGAAACUGCCCGAUGGAGGGGGAUAACUACUGGAAACGGUAGCUAAUACCGCAUACCAUCGGAUGUGCCCAGAUGGGAUUAGCUUGUAGGUGAGGUAACGGCUCACCUAGGCGACGAUCCCUAGCUGGUCUGAGCGGAGGACAAGCCAGCGUGGAACGUAGAGACGGUUCAGACGCCUAUGUGAGGCAGCAGUGGGGAAUAUUGCACAAUGGUCGGAAGCAUUAUGCAGCGAUGCGGCGUGUAUGAAGAGGGCCUUAGUGUUGUAAAGUACUUUCAGUGGGGUGGCGUUACCCGCAGAAUAAACACCGACUAACUCCGUGCUAGCAGCCGCGGUAAUUC
rnacentral:rRNA from 1 species